UGGCGGACGGGUGAGUAACACGUGGGUAACCUGCCUUAUGGAGGGGGAUAACAGAGAGAAAUCACUGCUAAUACCGCAUAAGCACACAGUACCGCAUGGUACAGGGUGAAAAGAUUUAUCACCAUAAGAUGGACCCGCGUCUGAUUAGCCAGUUGGCAGGGUAAAAGCCUACCAAAGCAACGAUCAGUAGCCGAUCUGAGAGGAUGACCGGCCACAUUGGGACUGAGACACGGCCCAAACUCCUACGGGAGGCAGCAGUGGGGAAUAUUGCACAAUGGGGGAAACCCUGAUGCAGCGACGCCGCGUGAGUGAAGAAGUAUUUCGGUAUGUAAAGCUCUAUCAGCAGGGAAGAUAAUGACAGUACCUGACUAAGAAGCCCCGGCUAACUACGUGCCAGCAGCCGCGGUAAUACGUAGGGGGCAAGCGUUAUCCGGAUUUACUGGGUGUAAAGGGAGCGUAGACGGAAUGGCAAGUCUGAAGUGAAAUACCCGGGCUCAACCUGGGAACUGCUUUGGAAACUGUUGUUCUAGAGUGUUGGAGAGGUAAGUGGAAUUCCUGGUGUAGCGGUGAAAUGCGUAGAUAUCAGGAAGAACACCGGAGGCGAAGGCGGCUUACUGGACAAUAACUGACGUUGAGGCUCGAAAGCGUGGGGAUCAAACAGGAUUAGAUACCCUGGUAGUCCACGCUGUAAACGAUGGAUACUAGGUGUCGGGGUGCAAAGCAUCUCGGUGCCGUCGCUAACGCAAUAAGUAUUCCACCUGGGGAGUACGUUCGCAAGAAUGAAACUCAAAGGAAUGACGG
rnacentral:rRNA from 1 species